rnacentral:rRNA from 1 species
CCUACGGGAGGCAGCAGUGGGGAAUCUUGCACAAUGGAGGAAACUCUGAUGCAGCGAUGCCGCGUGAGUGAAGAAGGCCUUUGGGUUGUAAAGCUCUUUUGUAGGGGAAGAUAAUGACUGUACCCUAAGAAUAAGGUCCGGCUAACUUCGUGCCAGCAGCCGCGGUAAUACGAAGGGACCUAGCGUAGUUCGGAAUUACUGGGCGUAAAGCGCGCGUAGGCCGUUGGGUUAGUUAAUUGUGAAAUCCCAAAGCUUAACUUUGGAACUGCAAUUAAAACUGCUCGACUAGAGUUUGAUAGAGGAAAGCGGAAUACAUAGUGUAGAGGUGAAAUUCGUAGAUAUUAUGUAGAACACCAGUUGCGAAGGCGGCUUUCUGGAUCAACACUGACGCUGAGGCGCGAAAGUAUGGGUAGCAAAGAGGAUUAGAUACCCUCGUAGUCCAUACCAUAAACGAUGAUUGCUAGAUGUUGGAAAUUUAUUUUCAGUAUCGCAGCUAACGCAUUAAGCAAUCCGCCUGGGGAGUACGACCGCAAGGUUAAAACUCAAAGGAAUUGACGG